CGGCGAGUGAAGCGGCAACAGCUCAAAUUUGAAAUCUGGCCCUCGGGUCCGAGUUGUAAUUUGUAGAGGAUGCUUUUGGCGCGGUGCCUUCCGAGUUCCCUGGAACGGGACGCCUUAGAGGGUGAGAGCCCCGUAUGGUUGGACACCAAGCCUCUGUAUAGCUCCUUCGACGAGUCGAGUAGUUUGGGAAUGCUGCUCUAAAUGGGAGGUAAAUUUCUUCUAAAGCUAAAUAUUGGCCAGAGACCGAUAGCGCACAAGUAGAGUGAUCGAAAGAUGAAAAGCACUUUGAAAAGAGGGUUAAAUAGCACGUGAAAUUGUUGAAAGGGAAGCGUUUGCGACCAGACCUUUUCCUAGCGGAUCAGCCGGUGUUCUCACCGGUGCACUUCGCUAGGUCUAGGCCAGCAUCGGUUUCCGUAGGGGGAUAAAAGCCCUGGGAACGUAGCUCCUCCGGGAGUGUUAUAGCCCUCUGCAUAAUACCCUUACGGGGACCGAGGACCGCGCAAGGAUGCUGGCGUAAUGGUCGUCAACGACCCGUCUUGAAACACGGACCAAGGAGUCGAACAUUUGUGCGAGUGUUUGGGUGUUAAACCCUCACGCGUAAUGAAAGUGAACGGAGGUGAGAGCCCUUACGGGUGCAUCAUCGACCGAUCCUGAUGUCUUCGGAUGGAUUUGAGUAAGAGCAUAACUGUUCGGACCCGAAAGAUGGUGAACUAUGCGUGGAUAGGGUGAAGCCAGAGGAAACUCUGGUGGAGGCUCGCAGCGGUUCUGACGUGCAAAUCGAUCGUCAAAUCUGCGCAUGGGGGCGAAAG
rnacentral:rRNA from 1 species